AACGAACGCUGGCGGCAUGCCUAACACAUGCAAGUCGAACGAAGCCUUCGGGCUUAGUGGCGCACGGGUGCGUAACGCGUGGGAAUCUGCCCUUGGGUUCGGAAUAACAGUUAGAAAUGACUGCUAAUACCGGAUGAUGUCUUCGGACCAAAGAUUUAUCGCCCAAGGAUGAGCCCGCGUAGGAUUAGGUAGUUGGUGGGGUAAUGGCCCACCAAGCCGACGAUCCUUAGCUGGUCUGAGAGGAUGAUCAGCCACACUGGGACUGAGACACGGCCCAAACUCCUACGGGAGGCAGCAGUGGGGAAUAUUGGACAAUGGCGAAAGCCUGAUCCAGCAAUGCCGCGUGAGUGAUGAAGGCCUUAGGGUUGUAAAGCUCUUUUACCAGGGAUGAUAAUGACAGUACCUGGAGAAUAAGCUCCGGCUAACUCCGUGCCAGCCGCCGCGGUAA
rnacentral:rRNA from 1 species